UGGGCGCGUUCGCUCUGUAGUCGGUAAUCAUGGGUGCGUUCGUUGCGAACUGUCAUGGUGCUGCGAUCAUCGUGCAUAGUUUUGAAACUCCUGAUUGUAGCAUUUGACAUUAUAAUUUCUUCAGGGUCCGGGUUGGAUCAGCGGCUCCGGGGCGGACUCCAUGUCCGACGCAGGCGUCCACAUUGGAGAAUGCAAUCAGGAGUUCCGCCGAUAAUCCAGGAGAUGAGGUGACAGUACCUAAACUUGGCACUACCUUUGAUUCUCUGGAAGAGGCCUAUGACUUUUACAAUCUCUACUCGUGGGAGAAGGGAUUUGGUAUAAGAUACGGAAAGAGCCGGUUAAAUAUCCGGAGGACAAAGUGCAUGCAAGAAAUUGUUUGUGGUUACGCGGGGAAGCCUGUUUUAGAGAAUACACAAUCAUGCCGAUGCAACUGUCCAGCGCUGAUCAGAUUGCUGAGAUUGGAAGACAACAGAUGGUACAUAGCGGAGCACAGAGAGAAGCACAACCAUUCGCUAUCUCCAAACUGUGGGGAGACCAUACACUGGCCUUCGCACAAGCGCAUAGAUGCUUACAGCAAGGAUUUGGUAAAGCAGUUGAAGCAUAACAUUUUUAACCUAAGCAAGAUUUACAGCAUAAUUGGUAGUUUUUUUGGUACGAUGGAGGAGGUCCCCUUCACGAAGCGAUCAUUGAAGACAUUAUGCGGGAAGUUAGGACCUGAACAGGCAGAUGGUGAUGUGAGGAAGACAAUGGAAGUCUUCAAGGAGUUGGGUGCAAACAAUCCACACUUCACGUACCGAGUGCAGGCAGACGGGGAAGGGCGGAUAAAGGGCCUGAUGUGGACCAAUGGCAGCAACCGGUUGCAGUACAGUUUUUUCGGGGAUGCGGUUAUGUUCGAUACGACCUACAGGACCAGUCUGUACGAUAUGAUGUUCGGUUUGUUUGUGGGCUUAAACAACCAUUUCCAGAGUGUGCUCCUGGCCGGGGUGCUGAUCAGAGAUGAGACUGUCGAAAGCAUGGAGUGGGUUUUUUCAGAGUUCUUACAUAUGAUGGGUGGGGGCUGCUCCGAAAACGAUACUAACAGACCAAAUUAGAGCUAUGGAGGUUCCUGUAAAGAAUACCAUGCUGGACACCGCGCACCGAUGGUGCAAGUGGCAUGUUCUAAUGAAGGCUAAAGAGUCGCUCGAAGCACUAUACACGAAAAAUAAUGUGUUCCGUGCAGAGUUCCACAAAGUGGUCAAUGACAUGAUAACAAUUGAAGAGUUUGAGGAGGCGUGGCGCUUUCUCAUUGAGAAGUACAACCUUAGGACACAUCCAUACAUGACCAAGAUAUACAAGAUAAGGCACAAGUGGGCGAAGCCUUAUUUCAAAAGUGUUUUCUGUGUAAAGAUGACGAGCACGCAGAGGAGUGAGAGCGCGAACCACAUGCUGAAAAACUAUGUACCACCUGGGUGCCCAAUGCAUUUAUUCGUGAAUAAAUACAUGAGACUUCAGUUCGACCGUGAAUCAGAAGAGAAUUACGAGGAUAAGAGAACCAGAAUUGGGAGGCCGCUGAUGAGUGCCAACUUGGCUAUCGAGCGGCAUGCUGCAGAGAUCUACACACAAGCUAUGUUCGAGCAAUUUGGACAUAUACUAUACGAGUCCGGCGCAUACCAAGUUGAAGAAGUGGAGAAGAACAAAUUGUAUGUUGCGACACACACCAAGCCGGAACGCAGGGAGAAAUGGCGCAAGGUGUCAUACAAUGUGUCGGUGAUCCGACAAGGAGUAAAAUUUGUUUGUGAAUGUGGCCACUUCUCUCACAUGGGUCUGCUGUUCUGAAGGUUCUUGAUUUUACACGUAUGAAGCAAAUACCGCCUAAGCACAUUAUGAAGAUAUGAACGAGGGAUGCCCGUGACGUGCUGCCAUCUCACUUGGCCCAAUACCAGAAGGACCAGAUGUAAAAACAAUGAGACCAACCCAAGGGAUAACCCUCGUUGGCAUUUUUUUAUAGGAGAAACUCCGCGAGCACCACGCGUCCGAGCCAAGACUCGAACUCAGGUGGGCUGGCAGCAACCUCAGCUACCCAGCCAACGGGUCGACGCCCCGUCCUCGAAGGACCAGAUGUACAAACGGCCAUUUACAUACAGGCAUUUCAACAUGUAUAUGAAUGCAAUGGAGUUGGUGCGUCUUGGAGACGCGAGUGUGGAUGCGUACAACAAACUCAUGUCUCUGUUCAAGGCGAAUAUGCAGGAGAUGAAGCCAUUCGCCGAAGUUCACGAUGGGCUAGGUUUGGAAGGUCGAGUACCAGAUAAUGGAAUUGUCGUAGAUCAGCUGGAAAUCGGUGAGGGCAUCGAGCAAGGUUUAAUACAGGCACAGCAGGCAGAAUUUAGGGAUUGUCACAAUAUCUCUGCUUCAGGAUCGAUUAAUACACUAGCGGGGUUGUCUGAUCCGGCUAAAAGAAACAAAGUUGGUCGUCUAACGACCGGGAGGGAGAAAGCACCAUAUGAUGGUUUGAGCAAGCAGCCAAGAUUAUGCACUAUCUACCGGAAGCAAGGUCACAAGCGAACGACGUGCCCUGAAAGGGGCGACGCUCCAAAGCAACCUAGAAGGCCUGGAAGGUGCAAAAAUUGUAGCGUCGAAGGUCAUCGCAGAAACAACUGCACAAAGCCCCUAGAUAUGAGGAUGCCAGACCUUCAGAUUUCCUGGUAUGAUGAGUUGGCAGUUGAUGGCUGUUCCCGGGAUUUGUUUCCUGGCCAGACCGAGUGCAAGUUUUGACUGAAAAUAUGAUAUUGUUCACAACUAUUUAAGCAGUGUGAGGUUUAUGCAUUUCCUGUGGCAUUGUGAAUUGGUACGUACAUAAAGGGGUGGACCCACGUUGAUGUGAGUGGGGGGCCAUGGCCCCCACUCCAAGGUUUGAAAAUCCUGUAGGAUUUGGUUGUAUUUUUAGAAAUACAUAC